ensembl:snRNA LOC120101972 U6 spliceosomal RNA
CACUCCUUGAGAUAGGACCCAUGUGUGCUCGAUAAAAAUUGGAACCAUGCGGAGAAGAUUAGCAUGGCCCCUGCACAAAGAUAGGACCCGUACCUGACAGACACUAGAUAGGUCA